rfam:Dipodomys ordii contig_5540, whole genome shotgun sequence.
GGGAAGGUAGCUCAGUGGUAGAGUGCUUGCCUUGCAUGCAUAAGGCCCUGGGUUCGAUUCCUCAGCACCA